AUUUGAGAGGCUCUCCCCAUCCCACCCUCUGCAGAGAUCACAACUUUCAUAACAAGACUGUUCACCAUACUGGAAGAACUGAGCCCCCAAAGCAAACCAGUUUCGAUCUCUUGGGUGACAUGGAUGUCAUUAGGCAGUUGAAUGCGCAUGCGUACUCCAUCCAUUUCCUUCUCACCAUGCGGCCCCGGGUACUGGCAACCCAUGCUACACCACUGAUGAGGAGAACAUUCUGCUAGAAGCAAAGGUGGUACUCAAAACCACCUUGAGGACCUGGUCUAAAAUGCUGCACCUUCAAGAUCCUCCCUGGGAUUUUAGGAAUGUUGAGACGUGCUGCUUAUAAAGCCCUAAGUACAAGAUGGUCACGGACGGCUGGAAGGAGGCAUGUUCUAAUGGAAACAAAUCACUUGUCAGCGAGCAGCCUUCAAACUUUGAACAAAAGCUCAAAGGGCUCAGGAAAAGAGACAUGUUGGUUGGCUUCUAAGGCCCGGGUGCACGUUCACAGCCCCGCUUCCCCAAAAGCUCUGCGGUUAUUUAAUGCAAGGUUAAUUUACGUCCAUAAUUUGGAAGAGGUGCUGCGACGUCAGCAUUCCCUGUUAAAAGGAAAUCCAUGGGAUUUCCAUCCUUCCAAGCUCAACUUGACUUUGCAAAACAAGAUUGUGGCUCAACUGGAGCCUGUGCUUUCUAGGGAGUCUCUCAGAAAUACAUUUGAAACCUCCCCAAAACGAGUCCCUUCCUCUUGUUUCAAACAUGCCAGCUGCUUUCCAUUACAAAAUCUUUCUUUCAGCUGUAGGGUCUUGUUUAGUAUAUACCGUAAUUCUCUAUGGUAGAACUGGGAUGGGUUCCUCUUGUCAAUGAGGUGAUAUCUCUAGUCAAAGUGAGACGCGGGUGGCACUGUGGUCUAAACCACUGAGCCUCUUGGGCUUGCUGAUCAGAAGGUCAGCGGUUCAAAUCCCUGUGAU